rnacentral:rRNA from 1 species
GACGAACGCUGGCGGCGUGCCUAAUACAUGCAAGUCGAGCGAACAGAUGAGAAGCUUGCUUCUCUGAUGUUAGCGGCGGACGGGUGAGUAACACGUGGGUAACCUACCUAUAAGACUGGGAUAACUCCGGGAAACCGGGGCUAAUACCGGAUAAUAUUUUGAACCGCAUGGUUCAAUAGUGAAAGACGGUUUCGGCUGUCACUUAUAGAUGGACCCGCGCCGUAUUAGCUAGUUGGUAAGGUAACGGCUUACCAAGGCGACGAUACGUAGCCGACCUGAGAGGGUGGUCGGCCACACUGGAACUGAGACACGGUCCAGACUCCUACGGGAGGCAGCAGUAGGGAAUCUUCCGCAAUGGGCGAAAGCCUGACGGAGCAACGCCGCGUGAGUGAUGAAGGUCUUCGGAUCGUAAAACUCUGUUGGUAGGGAAGAACAAAUAUGUUAGUAACUGAACAAGUCUUGACGGUACCUAACCAGAAAGCCACGGCUAACUACGUGCCAGCCGCCGCGGUAA